ACGAUUGACCUCCGGGUCUUAUCUUAACAUCCCUCACCUCUGUGAACCGUUUGACCUCCGGGUCUUACAACCAUAACACAAACAUCAGUGUAAAGAACGUCUUGUUAUCUUAACAAAAACA
rnacentral:misc_RNA from 1 species